rnacentral:rRNA from 1 species
GACGAACGCUGGCGGCGUGCUUAACACAUGCAAGUCGAACGGAAAGGCCUGCUUUCCCUUGUGGAUUGCGGGUACUCGAGUGGCGAACGGGUGAGUAACACGCGGGUGAUCUGCCCCCAACUUGGGUAUAAGCCUGGGAAACUGGGUCUAAUUCGCGGUAGGACUGCAGGGUGGUGCCUGUGGUGGAAAACGAUUUUCUAGUGGUUGGGGAUGGGCUCGCGGCCUAGCAGCGUGUUGGUGGGGUAAUGGCCUACCAAGGCGGGGACGGGUAGUCGGCCUGUGAGGAUGGACGGCGGCAUUGGGACACGGACCCGGCCCAGACUCCUACGGGAGGCAGGAGUGGGGAAUAUUGGACCAUGGGCGGAAGCCUGACGCGGCGAGGCUGCGUGGGGGAUGUCGGCCUUCGGGUUGUAAACUCCUUGCGACCGCGAGGAAGCAACCUGGUUGGAGGGGUGGUGACGUUAGUGGUAGAAGAAGCACCGGCUAACUACGUG